rnacentral:rRNA from 1 species
GGUAGUACGUCACGAGGAGUUUCGUAGUCCUGGACGUCAGGAGUGAACGACUAGCGGCAGGCGUUAAUACAUGCAAGGCGAGGGGCGAGCAAUGUCACCGUCGUACGGGUGCGUAACGCGUAUGCAACCUACCUUCGAACUGGGGAGUAGCCGGGAAACCCGGAUUAAUACGCAUAAUACAUUGGUGUAGCAUUACAUUAUUUGUUAAGAUUAUUGGUUGAAGAUGGGCAUGCGUUCGAUUAGCUAGUUGGUGCAGGUAACGGCUCACCAAGGCGACGAUCGAUAGGGGAGCUGAGAGGUUGAUCCCCCACACGGGCACUGAGAUACGGGCCCGACUCCUACGGGAGGCAGCAGUAGGGAAUAUUGGGCAAUGGAUGCAAGUCUGACCCAGCCAUGCCGCGUGCCGGAUGAAGGCCCUCAGGGUUGUAAACGGCUUUUAUUCGGGAAGAAGAGCAGGGAUGCGUCCCUGUGUGACGGUACCGAAUGAAUGAGCACCGGCUAACUCCGUG